ensembl:snRNA U4 U4 spliceosomal RNA
AGCUUUGCACAGUGGCAGUAUCAUAGCCAAUGAGGUUAAUCCGAGGCACGAUUAUUGCUAAUUGAAUGACUUGAACAUUCCUGUGUUUGCUACAUAAUUGACACAAUUGUGUUUGUGUAUCUAAUUCAAAAUUUGUGCUGAAUGAAACUGAUUUU